rnacentral:rRNA from 1 species
UACAGAGGGUGCGAGCGUUGUCCGGAAUCACUGGGCGUAAAGGGCGCGUAGGCGGCUUUUCAAGCGUGCGGUGAAAGCUCGGGGCUUAACUCCGAGUCUGCCGUGCGAACUGGGAGGCUUGAGUCUGGUAGAGGUCGAUGGAAUUCCGGGUGUAGCGGUGGAAUGCGUAGAGAUCCGGAAGAACACCGGUGGCGAAGGCGGCAUCCUGGACCGGUAUUGACGCUGAGGCGCGAAAGCUAGGGGAGCAAACGGG